GCCAGCAGCUAUAUCACCCUGCGACUGGCAACUGUCAGCCCAUUGAAGCUGAGCAAGUGUGAGCCUGGUCAGUAUCUGGAUGGGAGACCUCCUGGGAAAGCUUAGGCUGCUGUCU
rnacentral:rRNA from 1 species